CUAGUCCUCCAAGUAUUUUUCUUAUAUAUUUAUGAUGGCCAUAAUUCUUAUAUUAUCAUGGCUGCAUAAGGGAUGAAACUUAUUAUGGCUAAGACUCCAAGGAAAGAAAUGGUUAAAAUUUCUAAAGUUGUUUGCUUCUCCACAAUCCUUAUUACAUUUCUUCUUAUGAAUGUGGCAAACGGGGAAGCAUUUUGUUGGGCUUUAAGCGAAAGUUGGCAUGGGCGUUGCCAAUCCACAGUAAAUUGUAAACUGCACUGCAUGGAGGAUGAGGAGGCAACAAAUGGAGAAUGUCGUGGGAUUUGGCAUUCAAAAUGCUACUGCUACAGAAAAUGUAUCUGAUAUAUUGAUCGAAUGCAACCAAUAUAUGCAUUAUGUUUGUGCGACUUCGAUCUGCGACCAUAUAUAUAUAUAUAUAUGAUUGAUCUUCUUCUAAA